CGCGAACGCUGGCGGCAGGCCCAACACAUGCAAGUCGAACGAAGUCUUCGGACUUAGUGGCGGACGGGUGAGUAACACGUGGGAACGUGCCUUUAGGUUCGGAAUAACCCAGGGAAACUUGUGCUAAUACCGAAUGUGCCCUUCGGGGGAAAGAUUUAUCGCCUUUAGAGCGGCCCGCGUAUGAUUAGCUAGUUGGUGAGGUAAAGGCUCGCCAAGGCUACGAUCAGUAGCUGGUCUGAGAGGAUGACCAGCCACAUUGGGACUGAGACACGGCCCAAACUCCUACGGGAGGCAGCAGUGGGGAAUCUUGCGCAAUGGGCGAAAGCCUGACGCAGCCAUGCCGCGUGGAUGAUGAAGGUCUUAGGAUUGUAAAAUCCUUUCACCGGUGAAGAUAAUGACUGUAGCCGGAGAAGAAGCCCCGGCUAACUUCGUGCCAGCCGCCGCGGUAA
rnacentral:rRNA from 1 species